AUGGGUUACCUCUCCUGGCCGGCGGUGUCCCAGAUCUGGGCCUUGACGACCUUGUCGUCGACGUGGAUGCUGCGGGUGGCGAACUCGACGCCGAUGGUGGACUUGGACUCGAGGCUGAACUCGUUGCGGGUGAAGCGGGUGAGCAGGUUGGACUUGCCCACCCCCGAGUCCCCGAUCAGCACCACCUUGAACAGGUAG
rnacentral:rRNA from 1 species